rnacentral:tRNA from 1 species
GCGGACGUGGCGGAAUUGGUAUACGCACUAGGUUGAGGGCCUAGGCUCGUAAGAGCGUGUGGGUUCAAGUCCCACCGUCCGCACCA